ensembl:lncRNA
GAAUCAAACCGUGGAUCCAUUGCAUACGGGUGAAACUGGCUUCUGACCCAGCAACAAAUUCAUAGCCCUCAGAAGUUACAGAAAAGACAACAAAAAAGCUGACUGAAGCCAGUACUCCUUGCUGCAAGUCUGGACUAGGGCUUCAGUUAAAAACAGAGAAAGUAUCUUAGAUGGUAUGACAAAGUGGUCAAAGAGAGAGAUCGUGUUUUCAUGGUGCAAAAUGCUGACACUAGGCCUGGGACUCGAGAAUUCUUUGAGAAGAAGGUCCAAGACUUUUGCUCCUCUAAUCCUAGAGAAUCAACGUCGCCCUUGUUCAGCAGGAAGUAGCCAGAGUGGUUGUCACCCCUGUUCCCCUCUGGAUGGAGGAAUAUCAAAGAGCAGAGGGACCUGAAACUGAACAGAACCCUGUAGGAUCUUCCUGGAACCAAUACCACAUGAUGAAACCUGUUGACCUCAGCCAAGGUGACCCAAACAAGUUGGAGCCAGAAGAAUGAUGAUCAAGAUGCUAGAUAUCACUUUGUUGCUUAACACCCAACCAAUCAGAAGAAUCCAUGAGCUAAUCAUGUGCUUAAUACCCUUACUCUUAAUUUUAGUUUUUAAAAACUCUUGCCUGAAAGCCAUUGAGGAGUUCAGGUCCUCUAAGCAUUAGUUGCCCAUUCUCCUGCUUGGCAUCC